rnacentral:pre_miRNA from 1 species
CAAAUACUCUCUCUGUCUCAAAAUUCUUGUCUUAGAUUUGUCUAGAUACGGAUGUAUCUAAUACUAAAACGUGACUUGAUACAUUUGUAUUUAGACAAAUUUAAGACAAAAAUUUUGGGACAAAGGGAGUACAUU